GCUGGAGUUGCUAGUAAUCGCGGAUCAGCAUGCCGCGGUGAAUACGUUCCCGGGCCUUGUACACACCGCCCGUCACACCAUGGGAGUUGGGAGCGCCCGAAGCCGGUGAGGUAACCGAGAGGAGCCAGCCGUCGAAGGUGAGACCAAUGACUGGGGUGAAGUCGUAACAAGGUACC
rnacentral:rRNA from 1 species